CAAAACGGCGUAACCCUCCUCAGUCUCGCGUUUGCUUCUCUCCCAAGUCGGAGCGAAUUUGAAAACCCUGGUUUAAUCAGGGCUUAUCAUCAUCCCUCUCUCUCUCUUUCUCUCUUUCUCUCUCUCUCCCGUAAAAAAUGGCGAAGGACUCAAUAGCACCACGCCCAUGGUUUCUGGAUUUGGUACCUCUUUUGGUGGUUCUUCUAAUAGCAGCUCACGUCCUCGCUUUGGUUUACUGGAUAUACAGGUUAGCUACUGAUAAACAACCCCAGAGAAGAAAGGCACAUUGAAGAUUAAGCAGGUGCUUGUUCAUAAUGCUGAACGGGAUUUUGAUUAUAUUUAGAGAGGUUAUACAACAACAAUCACAAAAGACUGCUUUUUACAUAUUGUAUAGCUUGUGUUUUUAUUGGUACAUCAGGUUGCUGCAUGUUCCUUAUCUCAGAAUUGCUGCUUCAUCCAACAUUAUUGAGUGCCUUGUAUUGUCCUUAAUGUUUGCACCAUCGAAAACUUGGACAACUGUUGACUUGA